rnacentral:rRNA from 1 species
AUUAGCCAUGCAUGUCUCAGUGCAUGCCGAGCUAAGGUGAAACCGCGAAUGGCUCAUUAAAUCAGUUAUGGUUUCUUAGAUCGUACCCACAUUUACUUGGAUAACUGUGGUAAUUCUAGAGCUAAUACAUGCAAACCAGAGUUCCAACCAGAGAUGGGAGGAACGCUUUUAUUAGAUCAAAACCAAUCGGUGGCGUUUGUUAAUACAUUCGUCCACCGUUUACUUUGAUGACUCUGAAUAACUUUGAGCUGAUCGCACGGUCCUAGCACCGGCGACAAGUCUUUCAAAUGUCUGCCUUAUCAACUGUCGAUGGUAGGUUCUGCGCCUACCAUGGUUGUAACGGGUAACGGGGAAUCAGGGUUCGAUUCCGGAGAGGGAGCCUGAGAAACGGCUACCACAUCCAAGGAAGGCAGCAGGCGCGCAAAUUACCCACUCCCGGCACGGGGAGGUAGUGACGAAAAAUAACGAUACGGGACUCAUCCGAGGCCCCGUAAUCGGAAUGAGUACACUUUAAAUCCUUUAACAAGGAUCCAUUGGAGGGCAAGUCUGGUGCCAGCAGCCGCGGUAAUUCCAGCUCCAAUAGCGUAUAUUAAAGUUGUUGCGGUUAAAAAGCUCGUAGUUGAAUCUGUGUUUCACACUGUCGGUUCACCGCUCGCGGUGUUUACUGGCAUGAUGUGGGACGUCCUACCGGUGGGCUUAGCCCUUCGGGGCGGUCCAACUAAUAUCCCAUCGCGGUGCUCUUCAUUGAGUGUCGAGAUGGGCCGGUACGUUUACUUUGAACAAAUUAGAGUGCUUAAAGCAGGCUAGCCUCGCCUGAAUACUGUGUGCAUGGAAUAAUGGAAUAGGACCUCGGUUCUAUUUUGUUGGUUUUCGGAACUCCGAGGUAAUGAUUAAUAGGGACAGAUGGGGGCAUUCGUAUUGCGACGUUAGAGGUGAAAUUCUUGGAUCGUCGCAAGACGGACAGAAGCGAAAGCAUUUGCCAAAAAUGUUUUCAUUAAUCAGA